GUUUCUCUUACUCAGGCCAGAAUAGAUAUGAGUGAAAUUGAUGAGGAUUCUGAUGGUUUCGUCCAACCUCAUGUAUGAAGCCUUUCCAUUUUGAAGAAAUGGAGGCCUAUAUUCAGGGUCUUAUUCCUAAUCUGGCACAACUACACGAUAUGCCUACUGCCUUUGUUCAAAUGUACUGUCGCACAGCUGCACACAAGUUAUUCUUCUUUUGUGAUCCUAACAGACGAGG